UACAGAGGUCUCAAGCGUUGUCCGGAAUUAUUGGGCGUAAAGAGCUCGUAGGCGGUCUGUCGCGUCUGCUGUGAAAACUCAGGGCUUAACCCUGAGCUUGCAGUGGGUACGGGCAGACUAGAGUUCGGCAGGGAGACUGGAAUUCCUGGUGUAGCGGUGAAAUGCGCAGAUAUCAGGAGGAACACCGGUGGCGAAGGCGGGUCUCUUGGGCCGAUACUGACGUGGAG
rnacentral:rRNA from 1 species